rnacentral:rRNA from 1 species
CGGCCAGUCCUCGGGAUGCACCAGUCGAGGAUUUUUCUCAAUGGGGGCAACCCUGAAGGAGCGACGCCGCGUGGAGGAUGAAGGGCUUCGGCUUGUAAACUCCUGUCACCGACGAACAAAGCGUCCGGGCGAACAUCCCGGACGAUUGAUGGUAGUCGGAGAGGAAGGGGCGGCUAACUCUGUGCCAGCAGCCGCGGUGAUACAGAGGCCCCAAGCGUUGUUCGGAUUUACUGGGCGUAAAGGGUGUGUAGGGGGUCGGGUUAGUCCGAUGUGAAAUCCCGCUGCUUAACAGCGGAACUGCAUCGGAUACUGCCCGGCUGGAGGUUCGGAGAUGAGAGCGGAAUUCUCGGUGUAGCGGUGAAAUGCGUAGAUAUCGAGAGGAACGCCGACGGCGAAAGCAGCUCUCAAGACGAAAUCUGACCCUGAGACACGAAGGCCAGGGGAGCAAACGGGAUUAGAUACCC